rnacentral:rRNA from 1 species
CGAAGUUGGAUUCGCUAGUAAUCGCGCAUCAGCCAUGGCGCGGUGAAUACGUUCCCGGGCCUUGUACACACCGCCCGUCAAGCCAUGGGAGCCCGGGGGCGCCUGAAGUCCGGGACCGCGAGGACCGGCCUAGGGCGAAACUGGUAACUGGGGCUAAGUCGUAACAAGGUAGC